rnacentral:rRNA from 1 species
GACAGAGGGUGCAAACGUUGUUCGGAAUUACUGGGCGUAAAGCGUGCGCAGGCGGUUUUGUAAGCCAGGUGUGAAAUCCCCGGGCUUAACCUGGGAAUGGCAUUUGGGACUGCAAGGCUUGAGUGCGGCAGAGGAGACUGGAAUUCCUGGUGUAGCAGUGAAAUGCGUAGAUAUCAGGAGGAACACCGAUGGCGAAGGCAGGUCUCUGGGCUGACACUGACGCUCAUGCACGAAAGCGUGGGGAGCAAACAGG